UUUAUUGGAGAGUUUGAUCCUGGCUCAGGAUGAACGCUGGCGGCGUGCCUAAUACAUGCAAGUCGAGCGAAUGGAUUGAGAGCUUGCUCUCAAGAAGUUAGCGGCGGACGGGUGAGUAACACGUGGGUAACCUGCCCAUAAGACUGGGAUAACUCCGGGAAACCGGGGCUAAUACCGGAUAACAUUUUGAACUGCAUGGUUCGAAAUUGAAAGGCGGCUUUGGCUGUCACUUAUGGAUGGACCCGCGUCGCAUUAGCUAGUUGGUGAGGUAACGGCUCACCAAGGCAACGAUGCGUAGCCGACCUGAGAGGGUGAUCGGCCACACUGGGACUGAGACACGGCCCAGAC
rnacentral:rRNA from 1 species